CAGAGGUCCCGAGCGUUGUUCGGAUUCACUGGGCGUAAAGGGUGCGUAGGUGGUGGGGUAAGUCUCGUGUGAAAGCUCGCAGCUUAACUGACGAAAAGUCACGGGAUACUAUUCUGCUGGAGGCUUGGAGGGGGGACUGGAAUACUUGGUGUAGCAGUGAAAUGCGUAGAUAUCAAGUGGAACACCAGUGGCGAAGGCGAGUCCCUGGACAAGACCUGACACUGAGGCACGAAAGCCAGGGGAGCAAACAGGAUUAGAUACCCUGGUAGUCCUGGCUGUAAACGGUGCACGUUUGCUGUAAGAGGAAUCGACCCCUUUUGUGGCGAAGCUAACGCGCUAAACGUGCCGCCUGGGAAGUACGGUCGCAAGAUUA
rnacentral:rRNA from 1 species